ACCAGUAUCCUUUUCCCUCCGCCGGCCCCUGGCGGACCCCACAUUCUCUUCUCCCUUAACCUAUUUCCAGGGUCACACCCGAUAAACUAUAUAUCUACCCUUGCAUCACUACGCACAUGAAAUACAAGCUACUCAAUAGUCUCCACGGCAUCUACGGCAUCCGUGGAACCCUGAACGCCUUGAACUACAACAACAACAACAACCACAACGGGAAUGCAUACCUACCUCUCUUAUGAUUAUCAUGCAAAAGGAUGCAUUUUUCAGUGAGAAACGGGGGGCCCUCCCGCAGGUCACAGCGGCGUAAAGUUUGCUAACGGUAGACGGAAACAAAGGCCAAGCCAGGCAAC
rnacentral:sRNA from 2 species